GCUGUGGCCCGGAGAGUGGCUAGAUCAAAAUAAACCAAGUGGAGAAAGCAGUCACUAUACCAGACUGCAAUAGAAGGAGAGACAGACAGAGAAAGAGCCACACCACCUAAGACAAAGCGCCUAGGCCACCCACUCAGAACAUUAAGGACUUAUACCUUGUAAGAACAGAGAAACACAUCUAUCCAGACAUGGAUAUCCAGACCGGCCAGGUGACGCACCAGCCCAGCCCCAGGGAGAGCCUGGAGAGCCAGCUGAGCUGCCCCAUCUGCCUGGAGAUGUUCCAGAAGCCCGUAGUCAUCCUGCCCUGCCAACACAACCUGUGCCGCGGCUGCGCCAGCGACCUCUACGACUCCCGCAACCCUUACCACUACUCCGGGGGCAUCUUCCGCUGCCCCACCUGCCGCUUCGAGGUCGUCCUGGACCGCCACGGCGUCUACGGCCUACAGAGGAACCUGCUAGUGGAGAACAUCAUUGAUAUCUACAAGCAGCAGCCGGAGAGCGGCGGCGGAGAAGUAGGAAGUAACGUUGCAGACCCACCGCUGAAGGACAAAGACACCAAGGAGCCCAUGUGUACGGAGCACGAGGACGAGCGCAUUAAUAUUUACUGUGUGACCUGCCAGACGCCCACCUGCUCCAUGUGCAAAGUGUUCGGCCAGCACAAGGACUGUGAGGUGUCACCCCUGCAGAGCAUCUACGAUACCCAGAAGGCCGAGCUGCGGAACGCCGUAGAUCUCCUUGCAGCGGGUAACAGCUGUGUCCAGGCCGUGAUGGCUCAGAUGGAGGACACAUGCAAGAGCAUCGAGGAGAACAGCCAGCUUCAGAAGAGACGUCUGGGGGAGAGCUUCGACUUGCUCUAUGCCAUCCUGGAGGAACGUAAGGGCCAGCUCCUGGAAAAGAUCACCCAGGAGGAGGAGAGGAAGCUGGGGUUGCUGAGGUCCCUGGUGGAGAGGUACACGGAGCAGCUCCAGGCUAGUAUCAACCUAAAGGAGAAGGCGGCCCAGACCAUGGAGAAGGGCAAUGCAGCCGAGUUCUGAUUAGUGGGAAGGAGCUGAUUGCACAGGCCAAAGAGGCAGCUAAAGGCGCCAACUUAGAGAGGCCAGAGCCUGGGUUCGAGAACAUGGAGCACCUUACACUGUGCACAGAAGAAGUGGAGGUCAUCUUGUACCAAAUGGGCUUUGGACUGGGGGAUGAUGAUGAUGUGGUGACAGAGGAAGAAGAAGGGGAGGAGGAAGAAGAAGAGGAGGAAGAAGAGGAGGAAUAGUAAAACUCUAACUCAAGACUGUAUUAGAAGUACUGUAUUAUUGCAGUUGAGGAGAGGUUUGGGCUAAGAGAUAAGGAUUGGUUUGAUGAACAAGCUGCUUUUUAGAAAGAGUAACUAGUUAUUUAUCAACUAGUUAUAACUAGGAUAUUCACUGUGGUGAAUACACAAUUUAGAGCCAAGGUGGAAAGUGCAAUUCUGAAAAGUAGUUUUUUUUUCACUAACAAAAUGCAACAUUUUGUUUAGACUUUUUCUUUUUUUUAUACUUUUGUAUUUCUACGUUUAUACGGUACUGUGUUUUGAUAUCUACUGAAAUAGAUCUCAUGGAAAUAACUAUGUUUACACUUGAACUCUUUUCACAUAAUGUACAUUGCUCAAGUCUAGACUAGAUUGAAAAAAAUAAUCAAAAAUAUAGCAAAGCAUUAUUCAUGUUGUGUAUAAUAUAUCGUUGUCUGUCAAACUAUUGAAAACUUGAAUUGCUGCAAAAUGCACUUAAUUCACUUGGUGUUGUUUUUUAACACAACUGUAAUUUUUCUAAUGUAAUUGACAGUUUAAAGAAAUAAAGUGUUGUGGAAAUA